GCCCUUAGAGUUUGAUCCUGGCUCAGGAUGAACGCUGGCGGCGUGCCUAACACAUGCAAGUCGAGCGAUUUACUUCGGUAAAGAGCGGCGGACGGGUGAGUAACGCGUGGGUAACCUGCCCUAUACACACGGAUAACAUACCGAAAGGUAUGCUAAUACGAGAUAAUAUAAGAAAUUCGCAUGGAUUUCUUAUCAAAGCUUUUGCGGUAUAGGAUGGACCCGCGUCUGAUUAGCUAGUUGGUAAGGUAACGGCUUACCAAGGCGACGAUCAGUAGCCGACCUGAGAGGGUGAUCGGCCACAUUGGAACUGAGACACGGUCCAAACUCCUACGGGAGGCAGCAGUGGGGAAUAUUGCACAAUGGGCGAAAGCCUGAUGCAGCAACGCCGCGUGAGCGAUGAAGGCCUUCGGGUCGUAAAGCUCUGUCCUCAAGGAAGAUAAUGACGGUACUUGAGGAGGAAGCCCCGGCUAACUACGUGCCAGCAGCCGCGGUAAUACGUAGGGGGCUAGCGUUAUCCGGAAUUACUGGGCGUAAAGGGUGCGUAGGUGGUUUCUUAAGUCAGAGGUGAAAGGCUACGGCUCAACCGUAGUAAGCCUUUGAAACUGAGAAACUUGAGUGCAGGAGAGGAGAGUAGAAUUCCUAGUGUAGCGGUGAAAUGCGUAGAUAUUAGGAGGAAUACCAGUUGCGAAGGCGGCUCUCUGGACUGUAACUGACACUGAGGCACGAAAGCGUGGGGAGCAAACAGGAUUAGAUACCCUGGUAGUCCACGCCGUAAACGAUGAGUACUAGCUGUCGGAGGUUACCCCCUUCGGUGGCGCAGCUAACGCAUUAAGUACUCCGC
rnacentral:rRNA from 1 species